rnacentral:rRNA from 1 species
UACGGAGGGGGCUAGCGUUGUUCGGAAUUACUGGGCGUAAAGCGCGCGUAGGCGGCUUUGUAAGUCAGAGGUGAAAGCCUGGAGCUCAACUCCAGAACUGCCUUUGAGACUGCAUCGCUAGAAUCAUGGAGAGGUUAGUGGAAUUCCGAGUGUAGAGGUGAAAUUCGUAGAUAUUCGGAAGAACACCAGUGGCGAAGGCGGCCAACUGGCCCGAUACUGACGCUCAUGUGUGAAAGCGUGGGGAGCAAACAGG